GCACGUGGUGUCAGGAAGACAAAAGAAAGAGCCGACUUGGGAAUGGAUGGUCGCCAUCUUCUUGUCGGUUCGAAGGGAUUUAGUUAAAAAUCCGGAUAAUUAUUAAUUUUAAAACCCUUUCGCGACAUCAGAAGUGUGGAUAGAACUUACCAAACCACAAUAAGCUUUUGAGUGGCAUGGUGAAACCUGUAGGAUGCAUUUGAAUAAGAUAAGUGUCGUAGGCUGCGCAGCAGAUAGAACCCCAAAAGAAGAUAUCUCUGUUAUUUGGAAAAUAGUUAAUAAAACAUACAAAUUACAGAACAACUUAAAGUAUCAAGAAAAUAUACGCUAACAGAUUUAUAAUGCAUCAAUAUAUUCCUAGAGACCCAUAUAGAAGAUAUUUGUGUUUAUACCAAACCAAACCACUUGAAGUUUUGACGUCGACGAAGUUCCUAAUUACAAGUUAAUUAAAAGCUCUAAAAAUUAUCUAAAAGCCUAGAUGUUUCUCUAUAGCAGUUUUCAAACCAAACAACAUAAUGAACUUUAUCGUUGACUGAUCCUGUACAGUUUAUAGGUAUAUAACAUUGAGAAGGAGGUA